AUGAACGCUGGCGGCGUGCCUAAUCCCUGCAAGUCGAGCGAACAGACGAGGAGCUUGCUCCUCUGACGUUAGCGGCGGACGGGUGAGUAACACGUGGAUAACCUACCUAUAAGACUGGGAUAACUUCGGGAAACCGGAGCUAAUACCGGAUAAUAUAUUGAACCGCAUGGUUCAAUAGUGAAAGACGGUUUUGCUGUCACUUAUAGAUGGAUCCGCGCCGCAGUAGCUAGUUGGUAAGGUAACGGCUUACCAAGGCGACGAUGCGUAGCCGACCUGAGAGGGUGAUCGGCCACACUGGAACUGAGACACGGUCCAGACUCCUACGGGAGGCAGCAGUAGGGAAUCUUCCGCAAUGGGCGAAAGCCUGACGGAGCAACGCCGCGUGAGUGAUGAAGGUCUUCGGAUCGUAAAACUCUGUUAUUAGGGAAGAACAAAUGUGUAAGUAACUAUGCACGUCUUGACGGUACCUAAUCAGAAAGCCACGGCUAACUACGUG
rnacentral:rRNA from 1 species